UACGUAGGGUGCGAGCGUUGUCCGGAAUUAUUGGGCGUAAAGGGCUCGUAGGCGGUCUGUCACGUCGGGAGUGAAAACACGGGGCUUAACCCCGUGCCUGCUUCCGAUACGGGCAGACUAGAGGUAUGCAGGGGAGAACGGAAUUCCUGGUGUAGCGGUGAAAUGCGCAGAUAUCAGGAGGAACACCGGCGGCGAAGGCGGGGUCUCUGGGCCAUAACUGACGCUGAGGAGCGAAAGCGUGGGGAGCGAACAGG
rnacentral:rRNA from 1 species